AUUGAACGCUGGCGGCAGGCCUAACACAUGCAAGUCGAGCGGAAACGAGUUAUCUGAACCUUCGGGGAACGAUAACGGCGUCGAGCGGCGGACGGGUGAGUAAUGCCUAGGAAAUUGCCCAGAUGUGGGGGAUAACCAUUGGAAACGAUGGCUAAUACCGCAUAAUGCCUACGGGCCAAAGAGGGGGACCUUCGGGCCUCUCGCGUCAGGAUAUGCCUAGGUGGGAUUAGCUAGUUGGUGAGGUAAUGGCUCACCAAGGCGACGAUCCCUAGCUGGUCUGAGAGGAUGAUCAGCCACGCUGGAACUGAGACACGGUCCAGACUCCUACGGAAGGCAGCAGUGAGGAAUAUUGGACAAUGGGCGAAAGCCUGAUCCAGCAAUACCGCGUGAGUGAUGAAGGCUUUAGGGUUGUAAAGUACUUUCAGCAGUGAGGAAGGUGGUAGUGUUAAUAGCACUGUCAUUUGACGUUAGCUGCAGAAGAA
rnacentral:rRNA from 1 species